rnacentral:rRNA from 1 species
AGCGAACGCUGGCGGCAUGCUUAACACAUGCAAGUCGCACGAAGGUUUCGGCCUUAGUGGCGGACGGGUGAGUAACGCGUAGGAAUCUAUCCAUGGGUGGGGGAUAACUCCGGGAAACUGGAGCUAAUACCGCAUGAUACCUGAGGGUCAAAGGCGCAAGUCGCCUGUGGAGGAGCCUGCGUUUGAUUAGCUUGUUGGUGGGGUAAUGGCCUACCAAGGCGAUGAUCAAUAGCUGGUCUGAGAGGAUGAUCAGCCACACUGGGACUGAGACACGGCCCAG